UGGGGAAUUUUGGACGAAUGGGCGAAAGCCUGAUCCAGCAAUGCCGCGUGUGUGAAGAAGGCCUUCGGGUUGUAAAGCACUUUUUGUCCGGAAAGAAAUCCUUGGCUCUAAUACAGUCGGGGGAUGACGGUACCGGAAGAAUAAGCACCGGCUAACUACGUGCCAGCAGCCGCGGUAAUACGUAGGGUGCAAGCGUUAAUCGGAAUUACUGGGCGUAAAGCGUGCGCAGGCGGUUUGCUAAGACCGAUGUGAAAUCCCCGGGCUCAACCUGGGAACUGCAUUGGUGACUGGCAGGCUAGAGUAUGGCAGAGGGGGGUAGAAUUCCACGUGUAGCAGUGAAAUGCGUAGAGAUGUGGAGGAAUACCGAUGGCGAAGGCAGCCCCCUGGGCCAAUACUGACGCUCAUGCACGAAAGCGUGGGGAGCAAACAGGAUUAGAUACCCUGGUAGUCCACGCCCUAAACGAUGUCAACUAGUUGUUGGGGAUUCAUUUCCUUAGUAACGUAGCUAACGCGUGAAGUUGACCGCCUGGGGAGUACGGUCGCAAGAUUAAAACUCAAAGGAAUUGACGGGGUCAUAGCUG
rnacentral:rRNA from 1 species